CUGGCUCAGAACGAACGCUGGCAGCGUGGAUUAGGCAUGCAAGUCGAACGGGAAGCUGAUGAUCAAUCCUUCGGCGAGAGUGAAUCAGUGGAGAGUGGCGAAAGGGUGAGUAACACGUGGGUAAUCUACCCUCAAGUUUGGGAUAACCCUCCGAAAGGGGAGCUAAUACCGAAUGUGGUAAUUUUUCGCAUGGGAAAUUAUCAAAGGCGGGGAUCCUUAGGGACCUGUCGCUAGAGGAGGAGCCCGCGCCCCAUCAGCUUGUUGGUAGGGUAACGGCCUACCAAGGCAAACGGGUAGCUGGUCUGAGAGGAUGGUCAGCCACACUGGGACUGAGACACUGCCCAGACUCCUACGGGAGGCUGCAGUCGAGAAUCAUUCACAAUGCGCGAAAGCGUGAUGAUGCGACGCUGCGUGGAGGAUGACUGCCUUCGGGUUGUAAACUCCUGUCAUGAGGGAAAAAUAAGCCCGGUUAUAAUAUGACCGGGAAUUGAUGGUACCUCAAGAGGAAGCCACGGCUAACUCUGUGCCAGCAGCCGCGGUAAUACAGAGGUGGCAAGCGUUGUUCGGAUUUACUGGGCGUAAAGGGUGCGUAGGCGGUUUUGUAUGUCGGAUGUGAAAGCCCACUGCUCAACGGUGGAAUUGCAUUCGAAACUGCAGGACUAGAGUACAGGAAGGGAGAGCGGAAUUCCUGGUGUAGCGGUGAAAUGCGUUGAUAUCAGGAGGAACACCGGUGGCGAAGGCGGCUCUCUGGAAUGUUACUGACGCUGAGGCACGAAAGCUGGGGGAGCGAACAGGAUUAGAUACCCUGGUAGUCCCAGCUGUAAACGGUGCGCACUUGGUGUAGGGAUUUUGACCGUCCCUGUGCCGUAGCUAACGCGUUAAGUGCGCCGCCUGGGGAGUACGGCCGCAAGGCUAAAACUCAAAGAAAUUGACGGGGGCCCGCACAAGCGGAGGAGCAUGUGGCUUAAUUCGAUGCAACGCGAAGAACCUUACCAGGGCUUGACAUGCAGCUGCACGUCCACCGAAAGGUGGAAAGCUUUCGAGGGUGCUGCACAGGUGGUGCAUGGCUGUCGUCAGUUCGUGCCGUGAGGUGUUUGGUUAAGUCCAGCAACGAACGCAACCCCUGUGUUUAGUUGCCACCGUGGGUGAUGAGCCUGCGAGCACUCUAGACAGACUGCCCGUACAAGCGGGAGGAAGGUGGGGAUGACGUCAAGUCAGUAUGUCCCUUAUGUCCUGGGCUGCACACGUGCUACAAUGGUCGGUACAAUAGGAAGCGAAGCCGCGAGGUGGAGCAAAUCCCCAAAGCCGGCCCCAGUUCGGAUUGGAGUCUGCAAUUCGACUCCAUGAAGUUGGAUUCGCUAGUAACGGCGUAUCAGCUACGACGCCGUGAUACGUUCCCGGGCCUUGUACACACCGCCCGUCACAUCAUGAAAGCCGUCUGCACCCGAAGUCGCUGACCAACCCGCAAGGGGGGUAGGCGCCGAAGGUGUGGGUGUGAUUGGGAUGAAGUC
rnacentral:rRNA from 1 species